rnacentral:rRNA from 1 species
UCCAGACUCCUACGGGAGGCAGCAGUGGGGAAUAUUGCACAAUGGGGGAAACCCUGAUGCAGCGACGCCGCGUGAGUGAAGAAGUAUUUCGGUAUGUAAAGCUCUAUCAGCAGGGAAGAAAAUGACGGUACCUGACUAAGAAGCCCCGGCUAACUACGUGCCAGCAGCCGCGGUAAUACGUAGGGGGCAAGCGUUAUCCGGAUUUACUGGGUGUAAAGGGAGCGUAGACGGCAUGGCAAGUCAGAUGUGAAAGCCCGGGGCUCAACCCCGGGACUGCAUUUGAAACUGUCAGGCUGGAGUGCAGGAGAGGUAAGUGGAAUUCCUAGUGUAGCGGUGAAAUGCGUAGAUAUUAGGAGGAACACCAGUGGCGAAGGCGGCCUGCUGGACUGCAACUGACGUUGAGGCCCGAAAGCGUGGGGAGCAAACAGGAUUAGAUACCCCGGUA